CUGGCACAGAGAGACGCCUCGUUCCUGUUGUGACUCUGCCAUGGGUCUCAGGCUUCUCCACUGUGCGGCCCUUUGUCUCCUUGCAGCAGGUCACUUGAGUGCCAUGCUCAUCCAGAAUCCGAGAUACCAGAUUACGAGAAAGGGAAAAGCAGUGACCCUGAGUUGUUCUCAGAAUCUGAAUCAUGAUACCAUGUACUGGUACCAACAGAAGCUGAGCCAAGCACCAAAGCUGCUGUUCUACUACUAUGAUCAGGAAUUUUACAAUGAAACAGACACCUCUGACAACUUCCACCCCAGCCGGCCCAACACGUCCUUCUGUUCUCUUGGCAUCCGCUCGCCAGGCUUGAGGGACUCAGCAGUGUAUCUGUGUGCCAGCAGCAUGGACACAGAGCUAAAGCGUUACCUCCCCUCUGCUCAUAAACCUCUCUGUUUCCCAGAUCCAAGAGCCUUCUUAGACCUCCCUCCCCUCCCUCAGCAGCAUCAGGAAGUGGGUUUAUGGCUCUCAUUAUCUCCUUUGUAG